rnacentral:rRNA from 1 species
GGGUUGCAAAAGAAGUAGGUAGCUUAACCUUCGGGAGGGCGCUUACCACUUUGUGAUUCAUGACUGGGGUGAAGUCGUAACAAGGUAACCGUAGGGGAACCUGCGGUUGGAUCACCUCCUUACCUUAA